GUUUUAAUAAUUUAAAUUUAAAACUUUGGUCUUGUAAACCAAUAACGAAAUAUAUUUUCUUAAAACU
rnacentral:tRNA from 1 species